rnacentral:misc_RNA from 1 species
GUCAAGAAGAGAUGGAAACAAGCUUCCCCUUAGCCAAAUUCCGACUGUUUCAAAGGAAAUUAAGGAAGUUCGAGUGGAGCAAGUAUCAGCAAAUGAAUUUGUACCUCAUGAUGGGAUUCUCCUCACAAUUCAUGAUAAGACCAGUGACAAAGAAUCAGACAAGGUCAUGGUUCAUCUGGGUAUGGGGAAAACUAAAAAUGGAGACAAUAGCAGUCAAUCAGGGUCUUUUCAUCAUUUAGAGAAAGAUUGUGUAUCGCAAUCAGGUGAAGAAGGGA